UACCCGCUGAACUUAAGCAUAUCAAUAAGCGGAGGAAAAGAAACUAACAAGGAUUCCCCUAGUAACGGCGAGUGAAGCGGGAAAAGCUCAAAUUUGUAAUCUGGCGCCUUCGGCGUCCGAGUUGUAAUCUCGAGAAGUAUUUUCCGCGCUGGACCGCACAUAAGUCUGUUGGAAUACAGCGUCAUAGUGGUGAGAACCCCGUAUAUGGUGCGGAUACCCAGUGCUUUGUGAUAUACUUUCGAAGAGUCGAGUUGUUUGGGAAUGCAGCUCAAAUUGGGUGGUAAAUUCCAUCUAAAGCUAAAUAUUGGCGAGAGACCGAUAGCGAACAAGUACCGUGAGGGAAAGAUGAAAAGCACUUUGGAAAGAGAGUUAACAGUACGUGAAAUUGUUGGAAGGGAAACGCUUGAAGUCAGACUUGCAUUUUGGAGUUCAGCCGCAAGGUGUAUUCUUCAAUUCGCAGGCCAGCAUCAGUUUUCGGGGGUGGAAAAUCGCGGUUUGAAGGUAGCAGUCUCGGCUGUGUUAUAGCUUUCCGCUGGAUUCACUUUUGGGGACUGAGGAACGCAGUACGCUUUUUGCAAGAUUCUAGGGUCUUUCGUACUUAGGAUGCUGGUGGAAUGG
rnacentral:rRNA from 1 species